CCUCUGUUUACAUGUCCAUUAAAGGGAACUUCUAAGACCACAUUACUGGUUCCACUUGUUUGGAUGUGAUUUUUUGGCUUGCGUUUUUUUGUUUUUAAUGUAAGCGUACUAAAAUAUAAAGCUUUCUUCCUUUACUCUGUGGUUUUUCUCCCAACUUGUCACAGUAUUUCUUCUCCAGUUUUAUUGAUCUAUAACUUAGCUAUAACACUGUGUAAGUUUAAGGUUUACGAUGUAAUGACUUGAUAUGUAGGUAUGUAUAUUUAAUAUGUGCACUUAUUGCAAAAUGAUUACUACAAUAAGCUUAGCACAUACAAGACAUGACUUUUAAAUAAUACAUCUGGUAUCAGAUUAUCAACCUUUUGGUCCACACUGUACUCUGUAUCACUCUCAUUAGUCAGAAAAAGAUUCUCAGAACAGUGGGACAUGCAGUCACAAAGGGGCAACUAGUGGUUUCAUAACUGACAAAAAACGGUCUGCCUUUCUUCCAUGAGAUAUCAGACGUGCUCUAAAUAUGCAAAAGAAAACAGAUAAUGCACCAAGUUCAGAGAAAAGAAUGAAUGUUCUGCUAGUGUCAUAACAGGAAAGACUUAAAGCAAAGAGAAUUCAUGUCAAUUUAACCACCAAGAACCUAAUGUUAGCUUUUUCCUUUUCCUUCUUUAUGAACCAAUUUUCUUUCUUUAAAAUACCCUUUCUUUUAUAAAAUGAUGGUAUUGUAGGUGAUUAUUUCUUUUUUAAUACUCAUAUUUGUUUUGUUUUGAAUUUGAAAAUGAAAAAAUGAAGAAUAUAACAAAUACUUAUGAAUUCAUUGCCCAUCACCCCCAAGAUAACAAAUGGUACUAUAUGGCUGUUUUUGCUUCAGAUAUAUUUUACCAAAAAAAUAAAAUUAUAGAGAUAAAGCAGAAGUCCCUUGAAACUCUGCUUUUUUUUGGAAAAAAAUAUGGAAUUUAAAGUCUAAUUCCACCUCUAUCUCCCCAGUGACAGCCACAUUGGUGUGUGCAUCUAUAUAGCUGUCUAUCUGUAUUUUUCUAUACAUAGGAAAAGUAUAAAAAUAAGACUGUUUCUAUACCCGCAUGUGCUUGUAAAACAGUAGGACUAGUUUCAACAUUAUUUCUCCUAAGAAUGCAUAUUUUCCCCAAGUUUGUCUUAAUACCCUGAAGAUUGAAGGCAGCAUGGUGGAGUGACAAAAUUGGUGAGCUAGAAAUGAGAAUAACCAGGACUGUUCCCGGAGCCACCAUUUACUCCUUGUGGGAUUGUAGUGCAGUUAGCUUCCCUUUUUGUAAAAUGAGAAUGCUGGAUGCAAGGAUCUCCAAGAUCUCUUCCACCUUUGAAAUCUUAUGACUCCAAGGUUGAAUUUCCUCAUCUGUCAAAUGGAGAUACUAACGUCUGCUCUGAGAACUGUUGUAAAAAUCCCAGAUGUGCAGGUGCUCUGCAAAGCACGAGGAGGAGGAGGACGGUGAUGAUAACUGAACAAUACUGAAUAACAAUUAGCAGUAAUACUCCAAACAAGCAGUUCAGCACAAGAAGAGGCUCUCUUAACUCUACCCAUGAUGAUUUAGCGAAUAAAAUACUAAAAGUGCUUCAUUCUGAAAGGGUCUUCUCUACAAAGGCAUUCCUCAGACAGAACCAGGGAGAAAACCAGUAUACUCCGCUCCUGAAUGUGCUGAAGCUACUUUUAAUUGCAUCAGAUAAAGAUACGAGGAGCCUGACUGCACUCAACAGAUGAGAGACAUUUCAAACGUUCAUUUUCCAUCCUGACAAAUUCCAGCAACUAACACAAAACGUCUCAACUUUAAGAGACCCUCACCAUUUAUAAGGUUUCAGGAUUCCGAAAACGUCCCCUUCCAUUCCCUCAGGUCUGGUGGUCGCGCAAUCUGUUUUCCCGUGGCCACGCGACUUUGUUUAUAAAAGAGUUUAGUAACCAGCGUAAAAAGAGCAUCUAGACAUGCUGACAUUGGGAUCACCGGGGUCACGGGGAGAUGUCUGAGGUCACAUGUUUACCCUGUCGCUGUGAAUCGUUUAUUACAAUUUUUUUAAACAGGAUGGGGUGGGGAUACAGCACAAACGCUUAGCGCCAAGAACAUGGUCAGAAGUGCUGCCUGGACUAGAGAAUAAAAAGGAACCUUUCCCGGGGAAAGGUAGGGUGACACCACACAACCUUACCUUUCGGAAAAAGACCGGAGCGCCCAGCACUGAAUGCUUACCUGAGGCCACCGGAGCCGGGGGUCAUUUUGGGUGUCGCUCAUUUGCCUGCCUAGAACAUUCCAAUGACAUUCUACCAGCUUUCUGCAUGCCAGUCAUGACAAGCGUCCACUUAAGAUUCUGGGAAGGGGCAGAGGAGGGGGACUGCAAGCGAAGAAGUGAGCGAAAGAGAAAGAGGCCCCAGCACACCGCAUACCGGGCUGGAAGGGAGUCACAUGCAGCGAGGAGCCAUUCCUGCCGCAUUACACAUGCUGAGUGUAAAUGGCAAACAAUAGCAGUCGAUGUUUAUGCCACAUGUUCUCAGCCUCUUCACAUAUCAACACCCAGGCCAACUCUACACAGACAGGCCUCCAGAGAGCGCCUCUGAAGCGGGGGCCCUGGAGCUAAUCACGUGGCCAUUUUCAAUAAAAUUCCUAA